rnacentral:pre_miRNA from 1 species
ACGCAGACAGUGGCACUUUCUUGUAGUAAUAAAUUCAAUUAAGUGCUAUAUUGUUUGUGUGG